AUGCAGGAAGGAGGUCCGGGCGUGAUAACAACUCAGGAUAUCCUUGGCUUUCUUCAAGCAGGGCCAUUGACCGGCCAUCUCCAAGGCAGGGAUAAGGCUGACCGACAUGAACUUGACCCCUUGGGGAUCCAGCAUCAGGAGGCCCACGGCCGGACAGUUGGGCUUCUUCUUCUCCAGCUUCACCUGCCAGCCAGGAAGAGGCACUGAGAGACCGAAAAGAAC
rnacentral:lncRNA from 11 species